GCAGCCUGCCGGGUUUUGUGCUGUUUUCUAAGUGCCCUGCAUUUAAACAGCUUGCCCUGGCUGCCGUGCUAUUGUUCUGCACACAUGUGCUAUCGCCGCUAUUGCUGCCGGACUGUUUGUCUUUUGAUUCCAUGUGGCUUGAAGAUUAAGCCUCAAUGAGCAGCACUGUUAAGUUCACAUGAGUUUUCCUCAUCUCUCUGCCUGGCAGGUGACUUUGGCAUCGUUGUGCUCUAUGGGGGUAUGCACUUAGGAAGUUCACAGGGUUCUUAGCUCUCCUUUCCUGGCAAAUGAUCUGUAAACACACUCCCAAAGCCAAGCAGUUGAUUUCCCUGUUGUCCUGAGGGCCACACGCUGAGGAUCAGCUGUGUGCCACGUUUUCUUCCCCCUUCAGAAUAACGGGGGAUUUCAAGGGGGUGGAUCGUCAUCCAUUGUUGGAUACCAGUUCUGUCGUUUUUCCUUCUCCGCCGAAAACAGCCGACAGGAAAGUAAUUACAGGAGCAGAUGUGACUUGUGACGUAAAUGUUACUUCUGGCCUUUUUUCCCUUUAAGUAAUCCAACAGGGUGAUUCCAAAGCAGCAGUGAGACACAUGGGCCUAGGGUGGUCAUUUCAAGCUUUUCCUUGACUCAGGCAGGUCCAGGGACAAUUUGAAACACCUUAAAAGACAUGUUUUCAAAUGAAAUUACCAAGUAAGUCACAUUUUCAGAGCAGCUUCAAUAUGUGCGUCCUGCAUAACUGCCUGCAUGGAUCCCUUCUCCCUAUCCACUGCCUUACUAACGUCUGUCCGCAGCAAGAUACUGAAGUGUAAUUACUUUGGAGUAACAAAUCAGUGAGCAUUUUCACGUUUCUCUUAAAGACAAGUUAAUUCCAUAAUCUUGACAUAAAGCUGAAUUAAACUGCUUAGAUCUUUGAAAUCACCUUGUUUUCAGGAUGUCACAUAAUUUGUUCUGAAUCAGAUGCAGCUGUAACAGACUUUAAUUCCUAAUGAACUCACCUGGCAACAUCUACCCAAAGCUCACAUGGAAAAUGGAUGCAAUGGCUGUUACUGAGUGGUGGACUAUCAGUCGGCGGUGGGGCCAGGAGUAACAGGUUUCCUGGCUCUCUGGUGUGAGGUGGUGGGUGGCUUCUCCAGAGCAUCUCCAAGAGGAGAGGUUGUUCCUGAUGCUACUGUCCCUUCAGCCAGAGGUGGGAGAGGCACAGCAUGCAGCUGUAGAGCCAUGGCAAGGGAACAGCAUGCAGUCCACAGUGGGAAUCUACUGUAAUCCAGUCAAACCAGUAAUAUGGACAGAUCCCUCCUCC